rnacentral:rRNA from 1 species
UACGGGGGGGGCAAGCGUUGUUCGGAAUUACUGGGCGUAAAGGGCUCGUAGGCGGCCAACUAAGUCGGAUGUGAAAUCCCCAGGCUUAACCUGGGAACUGCAUCCGAUACUGCCGUGCUUGAGGACUGGAGAGGAGACUGGAAUUUACGGUGUAGCAGUGAAAUGCGUAGAGAUCGUAAGGAAGACCAGUGGCGAAGGCGGGUCUCUGGACAGUUCCUGACACUGAGGCACGAAGGCCAGGGGAGCAAACGGG